rnacentral:tRNA from 1 species
GCCCAGAUGGCGGAAUCGGUAGACGCGCUAGUUUCAGGGACUAGUAAACGCAAGUUUGUGCAGGUUCGAGUCCUGUUCUGGGCA